rnacentral:lncRNA from 1 species
UCUUCUUCUUCUUCUUUUUUUUUUUUGUCUUUUUUGGCCACACCAACGGAAUAUGGAGGUUCCCAGGUUAGGGGUCAAAUCAGAACUGUAGCCGCCAGCUUAUGCCACAACCACAGCAAUGCCAGAUCUGAGCUGCAUCUGUGACCUAUACCACAGCUCAUGCAUGGCAAUGCCAGAUCCUUAACCCACUGAGCAAGGCCAGGGAUGGAACCUGCAUCCUCAUGGAUCCUAGUCAAAUUUGUCUCCACUGAGCCACAACCGGAACUUCUGCACUUGUUCUUUCUGCCUAGAAAAUUGAUUUCACAACUUCAGGGGCUGAGCUCCGUUUUAAAAUUUCCAGUCCAGAGAUUUCCCAUUGUGUGCAGCAGAAAUGAAUCUAGCUAGUAUCCAUGAGGAUGUAGGUUCGAUCCCUGGCCUCGCUCAGUGGGCUAAGGAUCUGGUGUUGGCUGUGAGCUGUGGUGUGGGAUGCAGAUGAGGCUCAGAUCCUAAGUUGCUGUGGCUCUGGUGUAGGCUGGCAGCUGUAGGCUGGCAGCCUGGGAAAUUCCAUAUCCUGUGGGUGUGGCUUUCUUUAGCAAACAAAACAAAAACAAAACACAAAACAAACCCCCCAAAAACAAUUUCCAGUCCAGUCCAAAGAUCUCUCCUCUGAGAAGUCACUCUAAGAUAGCCAUGGCUUCCCUCCAUUAAAAUUUUUGCAAUUUUUUUUUAUGAAAUGUAAUAUCUCAUUUAUCUUAUUUUUUUUUUUCCUUUUUAGGGCCACAACCAUGCCACAUGGAAGUUCCAAGGCUAGGGGUAAAAUCAGAGCUGCAGCUGCUGGUCUAUGCCACAGCCACAGCAAUGCCAGAUCCAAGCCACAUCUGCGACCUACAGCACAGCCCAUGGCAAUGCCAGAUCCUUAACCACUAAGCGAGGCCACGGAUUGAGCCAGGAGCCUCAGGGACACUCUGUCAGGUUCUUCACCUGCUGAGCCACAAUGGGAACUCCAGCUUAUUUAUUUUAUACGUAGUAGUUUAUACUUGUUAAUACCCUACCUCUAUCUUGCCCCUUCCCCUUUCCCUCUUCCAACUGGUAACCAUUAGUUUGUUCUCUAUAGCUUCAUUCUGUUUUUUUGUUGGUGCUAUAUUUACUAGUUUGUUUUAUUUUUUAGAUUCCAUAUAUAAGUGAUAACAUACAGUAUUUGUCUUUCUCUGACUUAUUUCGCUGAGCAUAGUACCCUCCAGUUGCAGUUGCAUCAAAGGAUUUUUUUUAAAGGAUACAAAUGGUUUUAUUCCCAGCCAUGAGAAACAAAUAGAGUUCUGACUGUUAGUUCCCAGACUGAGACUCAGAGCCCAACUGCAGGCCCAAGAGCCCUCCUGGGGUCCCAUAAAGCAACAGGGCUCCCAGACCCCAUGUGAAAGAGGACCCACUUCAGUCCACAGAUUUCAGGGACCUCCUCACCAGUCACCCUGAGGGAGGGACUCCCUCAUUCCCAGGGACCCUAGAUACCACAGGGACAUUUACUUCAUUUAGUCUUCAUUAACUAGUGACUCUAGGAGUUCCAAUUGUGGCUCAGUGGGUUAAGAACCUGACUAGGUUCUGUAUCCCUGAGGUUGAGGGUUCAAUCCCUGGCCUUGCUCAGUGGGUCAAAGAUCUGGUAUUGCCGUGAGCUACAGUGUAGGUUGCAGAUGUGGCUCAGAUCCUGUGUUGCUUGACUGUGGCGUAGGCCGGCAGCUGCAGCUCUAAUUUGGCCCCUAUCCCAAGAACUUCCUGUGCCCCAGGUGUGCCCCCCAAAAAAAGAAGAAGAAGGAGAUGAUAUUAAAGCCUCAGAGUUCCUGUUGUGGCUCAGCAGUGAACCCUACUAGCAUCCAUGAGGACGCAAGUUCAAUCUGUGGCCUUGCUCAGUGGGUUAAGGAUCUGGUGUUGAUGUAAGCUGUGGUAUAGGUUUCAGAUGCAGCUCAAAUCCUGUAUUGCUGUGGAUGUGGUGUAGUCUGGCAGCUGCAGCUCCAAUUUGACCCCUAGCCCAGGAACUUCCAUAUGUUGCAGGCAUGGCCCUAAAAAGACAAAUAGAAAUUUUUAAAACCGAAGAAGAAGAAAAAGAAGAAGAAAAAAUAAUGACUAAACCUAGCACCAGGUAAUAUUAUUAGAGAUAAAAAGGAAACUGUCCCCCUAGUUCUUGUCCUACUCUUCAUGGAAAUCCCAAAAUAGAUAAUAGGCUCUUACCUCAUGGGGAAGUUGGGGUAUUCCCUGGAAAGAGCCAACAAGAUCCCCAUAGUCAACAUGUGAAGGAGGUGGGGGUACAUCAUCACUUCAGUGGGUUCGCCCACAGUCUGGGUUCUGGCCCUGGGCCUCCCAGGGCCAAAAAUGUGACUUGUCAGUACAGGGAGAACAGAUUCAUCUCACGGGGUUGGACUCACCUUAAACAGGACUGACAUAUAAAAUCAGAAUGUAAGUUAAUUCGCUUGUAAGAGGAGGUAUAACUGCUCCAUGAACUUAAUACCCUAGUCCCCAUGACCUGUCAACAGACCUAUGUGAGAAACCCCUCCACAGAUGGAGUUAUUUGGUGAGCCUGGAAGCAGGAUAAGAACAGGCUAGCAGAUGGACCAAAUGUGUGAGGGCAGCGGGUUAAGGUCACUUCUGGGGCACCAGCCUCCACAGCAGGGUCUUCAUGUGGACUGAAAAUGCUAUAAACUCAUUGGCUGAAGCUCUUUCUUGUAUCUCCACAUUAGACACAGACUUGCUUAAUAGGAUCAGAAUAAGUCAUAAUCAUGGCUAAGGUACCUGUCUUCUGGAUGCUGUUUGGAUGAAUACUGCCCUAACAUUUGCCUUUUAUUAUUUUUCCAAGGCUGACCUUCCCCUUCUUUCUUUAGACAUAGUAAUUCUUUCCAUCAGGUCUUUUUAUAGACUGAGAGCCAUUCUGUCUCCCUAAGUCGCAUUUGUUUCACCAUUUAUUCAGCAGUAACUAACUGAGCAACUACUGUGUGCCAGGGUUCAAGGUACUAUGGUAGGUACUGGGGCAGAAGAGUGAGCAAGUGUGAUAAGUAUUACAAUAGAGGAGGUAGAAACAGACCAGGAGCACACUGGAGAGGAUCUGAAACAGACUUGAUAGACAGUUGCAUCAGAAAGUUGAUUGGAGGGUUACCUAGAGAAGGUUGAAAGGCCUCUAAGGAAGAGACAGAGAAGCUGGCCUUCAAUGUAGUUGUAGCUGAGACCUCAGCUGGUCCUCCAGGGAGCUCCCAAAUGGAGAUAGACCUUCCGAGAGCUUCUAUAGCUAAAUAAACUCUCCUUUAUCCGACAUCACAUUCUGUGCUCCUUGAUCCAGCACCUCAGGAUUCAGUCCCAAGUACAGUCUUCUGACUCCUACAUGUUAGUCAGUUUCUGCAGCAACUUCAGUAGAUGUUCUCUUUCUUUCUUAGUGGGCCCAGCUUAUCCUCAGCAAAGUUGUGCCAGGGUUUGGCCCUUGCAAUUGGCCUAAUUGCCAGGAGAUGAGACGGAGGUGAAGCCUGAGGGAAACAGGCAUCUUCUUGUAAGACAACUGCCUCAAUGGAAGCCUCCACAUGAGCUUCAGAAUCUGCCGCCAGUGGGGAGCAGGCCACGUCUAUGGAUCCACUGACUCCAGGGAAAUCUUUAAGUUCAGGGUUCUCAGUGGCAUCCUCUCAGAGGUCCUGGUCUCACGUUUCAGGGUCCAACUUCUUCUCUAUUAGGACACGGACUUUGGCACAGAAGACUUGCUAGGGCCAGGUUCAUCUUUCUCUACAGAACUGCUCAUCCUGCAUCUGAGUCCUAAGCCUGAUUCUUUGUACUUCUUGGCCCUACUGCAGAGAUUAGGAAUUCCUUAAAUGCUGCCAAAAUGAGGCUUUGGUUUUCACGUCUUGCCUGGAAUUGAUGAUUAAUCCCACUCUGAACCUGUCAUGACGUCUCUUUAAUGAAUCAAUGACAUUCACCAACUGCCACCAAUUCCAUGAUCCUC